rnacentral:rRNA from 1 species
AUGAGUCGACGAGUCGCUCAGGGGGGCGACUCUAGACUAGUCGUGACUAGUCUAGACUCAUGGUCGACGAGUCGACAUGCGAUGAGUCGACGUGAGUUAAGCAGUAGGGAGCAGACCAGCAGCAGCCAGCGGCAAGCCGGCAACCAAGGGAGGAGUCACAGCAACCAACCAAGACAAGGCCAUCAGGAGAUGGGAGGAGCAGCCCAGCAACAGCGGCAACCAAGGGAUGAGCAGCAGGCAGCAGCAACCAGGGGAGAAGGGGACGAGCAGCAAGCCAGGGCGGCGGCUGCUGCAGAAGAGGGCUGGGUCGGGGGAGGGGGGCUGGAACUGUUCGAUCUAGGUUUCCAGAAGCUCCAAUCUUCCUUCAAUACUGGCCCACAAGGCAAUAUUGGCCCAGUAAGGCCCAAUGAAACCCUAGCCUGCCCUCAAUCUGGACCAUCCAUAUUCUCUAAUCUUCACCGUCCAUCCAUUCUCGUCUUAUCUCUCUCUCUCACCUGCUCCCCUUCCAGCCCCUAG